CUGCUMAUGAUUAAUUAAAUAGCUGCGGUAUUUUGACUGUACAAGGCAGCAUAAUCAUUAGUUUUUUAAAUGGAAGCUUGUAUGAAGGGCUGAAUGAAAAAUUUUCUGUCUUUAUUAAAAUUAUUAAGAAAUUUAUUUUUAAGCCAAAAAGCCUAAAUAUAUAUUGAAGACGAGAAGACCCUAUAGAGUUUUAUAAUUUUAUAAAAAAUAAAAUUAAGAAUUUAAAUAAUUUUUUAUAGAAUCAUUUUAUUGGGGUGAUAGAAAAAUUUAAUAAACUUUUUUAAUCAUAUUUUCAUUAAUAUAUGAAUCUUUGAUCCUUAUUUUAAGAUUAAAAGAUAAAAUUACCUUAGGGAUAACAGCGUAAUUUUUUUUAGAGUUCUUAUUGAAAGAAAAGAUUGCGACCUCGAUGUUGGAUUAAAAUAAAUUAUUGGUGUAGAAGCUAAUAAAUUUGGUCUGUUCGACCAUUAAAAUUUUACAUGAUCUGAGUUUAAACCGGUGUGAGCCAGGUC
rnacentral:rRNA from 1 species